rnacentral:rRNA from 1 species
CUGCCUACGGGACGCAGCAGUGAGGAAUAUUGGUCAAUGGGCGAGAGCCUGAACCAGCCAAGUCGCGUGAAGGAUGACGGCCCUAUGGGUUGUAAACUUCUUUUGUCAGGGAGCAAUUGGGUCCACGUGUGGGCUUAGCGAGAGUACCUGAAGAAAAAGCAUCGGCUAACUCCGUGCCAGCAGCCGCGGUAAUACGGAGGAUGCGAGCGUUAUCCGGAUUCAUUGGGUUUAAAGGGUGCGCAGGCGGGCCUUUAAGCCGGCGGUGAAAUCGCGGGGCUCAACCCCGCCGGGCCGUCGGAACUGGG